GACGAACGCUGGCGGCGUGCCUAAUACAUGCAAGUCGAACGCAGUGGGGACGGGUGAGUAACACGUGGGUAACCUCCCAUCAGAGGGGAUAACACUUGGAAACAGGUGCUAAACCGAUACUGAUGGAUGGACCCGCGGUGCAUUAGCUAGUUGGUGAGGUAACGGCUCACCAAGGCCACGAUGCAUAGCCGACCUGGGAGGGUGAUCGGCAAAAGUGGGACGUGGAAAAGGCCCGAAUUCCUACGGGAGGCAGCAGUAGGGAAUCUUCGGCAAGGGACGAAAGUCUGACCGAGCAACGCGGCGGGAGUAAAGAGGGUUUUCGGAGCGUAAAACUCUGUGGUUAGAGAAGCGGUAUCUAACCAGAAAGCCACGGCUAACUACGUGCCAGCAGCCGCGGUAAUUC
rnacentral:rRNA from 1 species